GAUGAACGCUGGCGGUGUGCUUAACACAUGCAAGUCGAACGGUGAAAGCGAGCUUGCUCUCUGGAUCAGUGGCGAACGGGUGAGUAACACGUGAGCAAUCUGCCCCUGACUCUGGGAUAAGCGCUGGAAACGGCGUCUAAUACCGGAUACGCGCUGCGAACGCCUCUUCAGCAGCUGGAAAGAACUUCGGUCAGGGAUGAGCUCGCGGCCUAUCAGCUAGUUGGUUAGGUAACGGCUCACCAAGGCGUCGCCGGGUAGCCGGCCUGAGAGGGUGACCGGCCACACUGGGACUGAGACACGGCCCAGACUCCUACGGGAGGCAGCAGUGGGGAAUAUUGCACAAUGGGCGAAAGCCUGAUGCAGCAACGCCGCGUGAGGGACGACGGCCUUCGGGUUGUAAACCUCUUUUAGCAGGGAAGAAGCGAAAGUGACGGUACCUGCAGAAAAAGCACCGGCUAACUACGUG
rnacentral:rRNA from 1 species